rnacentral:rRNA from 1 species
ACAGCCACACCACCCUGAACACACCCGAUCUUGUCCGAUCUCAGAAGCUAAGCAGGGUCAAGCAUGGUUAGUACUUGGAUGGGAGACUAAUCUCCAUUUUCUAAGAGCACUGUU